rnacentral:rRNA from 2 species
GGGACGAUCGAAUGAAAGUAGCCGUUGGGGAACUUUACUCUCUUGGUGGCGCAGCUAACGCAUUAACAUUCCGCCUGGGGAGUACGGUCGCAAGAUUAAAACUCAAAGGAAUUGACGGGGGCCCGCACAAGCGGUGGAUCAUGUGGAUUAAUUCGAAGCAACGCGCAAAACCUUACCUACCCUUGACAUCCCUAUAACCCUUAAUAGAUACACUAUCGCUCACUUCAGAUGCAUAACACACGGGCGCUGUGUGUGUCUCCUCCUCUCGUGUCGAGAUAUGUUGGUAUAUCCCCCACCAAGAGCGCCCCCCUCCCCUUUAUGCGCCAACAUUCCACUCGACUCUCACAGGCGACUGCCGGUCAUAAGACGAGAGGAAUGAGGUGAUGACCUCAAGUCCUCUAGGCCCUUACCUUCUGGGCUACUCACGUGCUACGAAGAUAGUGACAGCGAGCAGCGAGCACGAGAGUAUCACCUAAUCUCCAAAAGACAUCUCAUCUCAGACUGCACUCCGACUCUCUAGUGUAUGAAUCUGUAAUCACUACUAAUCACGGAUCAGCGUGCCACGGAGAAUACGUUCUCGGGCCUUGUACACACCGCCCGAUCACAACAGGGGAUUUGG